UUUUGAGAAGAGGCGUGCUGAGUCGGGAAGGAUCAGGGAGAAGUACCCCGACAGGAUUCCGGUGAUCGUGGAGAAGGCUGAGAGAAGCGACAUACCAAAUAUCGACAAGAAAAAGUACUUGGUGCCUGCAGACUUGACAGUUGGUCAAUUCGUUUACGUUAUUCGUAAGCGAAUCAAGUUAAGCGCAGAGAAGGCAAUCUUCAUAUUUGUAGACAAUGUG
rnacentral:misc_RNA from 1 species